CACGGGGGCAACCCUGGUGGCGAGUGGCGAACGGGUGAGUAACACAUCGGAACGUACCCAGUUGUGGGGGAUAACCAGUCGAAAGACGGGCUAAUACCGCAUGAUCUGGCGACAGCAAAGCGGGGGAUCGGUAACGACCUCGCGCGAUUGGAGCGGCCGAUGUCCGAUUAGCUAGUUGGUGGGGUAAAGGCCCACCAAGGCUUUGAUCGGUAGCUGGUCUGAGAGGAUGAUCAGCCACACUGGGACUGAGACACGGCCCAGACUCCUACGGGAGGCAGCAGUGGGGAAUUUUGGACAAUGGGGGCAACCCUGAUCCAGCCAUGCCGCGUGAGUGAAGAAGGCCUUCGGG
rnacentral:rRNA from 1 species